rnacentral:lncRNA from 10 species
CAGCAGUACAGUGUGACAAAUGCUAGGAAGAGGCAUCAGCAAAGUACCAUGGGAGAAAAGGAGAUUUGGGGUGUCUGGGGAUAUGUUUAAUUUGAGGUGUGUUGGGACAUUCAGUUGGAACUGAACUGAUCUCAGACUUCAUUUGGCAGUUGGAUUUAUAGGCUAUAGCUUGGAGCAGAUAGUAUGAAUGGUGAUAUAUGAUAAGAGUAUCUAUAGGUUGUAGUUGAAGUUAAGGAGUUUGGAGAGAGUCAUGAGGGUAC